AUCAAGACCUUGCAAGUAAUGGCUGUAUCGAUGGGGACGGUUUUGAAUUGCCAAUAAGUUUGUGCAAUGUUCCUCUACUCUUUAACACCAUUCUUCAUUGCCAUUCAAUUCCUCCCUUUCAUAUCUCCGACCAUGGCUCUCAUCAGUAAGACAACCUGCGCACUCUUUCUCCUCCUCUUCCUCUUCCUCGUCGGGCCUUGUUUCUCCGACCACGGAUCAGGUAGUAGUCCGGUGGUUUAUGAUAUUGACUACCGUGGCCCGGAAACCCACACCACUGUCCCUCCUCCCAAGAGAUCAGGCGGCCGCCGCCGCCACCGCAACAUCAUUCAUCACCAACAAAGCAUGGUGGCGCGUCACAAACGUCGUUUCAAUUCUAGUCAUCAUGGACAUAAUGAGAAGAAAUAUGGCAAGUGAAUUGGACGGGCAUCAAUAUAUUGUCAUCAAGAAAAUGAUAGGGUUUGGAUGAAGAAGUUGAUCUGAGUGGCUAUGUGCUUAGAGAGAAGAGUUUGCAGAAGCCAACUAAUACAAUUAAGGUUAAUAUAUAUAUACCUUAAUUAGUGUAAUUAUAAAAAUCAUCAAAUGCUCUUUGUUGCUGUUGUACUGUUGUUAUGUUUUACUAGUGAAUUAUUUAUAAAUUUGCAAAAUUAAAUUUGCUUGGAAUAGAAGAGAAUGGAUCAUAUAUUCACAUCCAUUAAUUAUUUGGUUUGUGAUCAUCUUUAGAAGAGAAUAUGAUCAUUCUUACUUAUAGAUUUAUGGUUACAAGCUUACAAUUAAUCAUUAUAUUUAUCUACAAA